GAUUAUGACGUACUUGUACUGAUUGAGAUUUUAACACGAAGUGAGUGGCGAACGGGUGAGUAACACGUGGGUAACCUGCCCAGAAGUAGGGGAUAACACCUGGAAACAGAUGCUAAUACCGUAUAACAGAGAAAACCGCAUGGUUUUCUUUUAAAAGAUGGCUCUGCUAUCACUUCUGGAUGGACCCGCGGCGUAUUAGCUAGUUGGUGAGGUAAAGGCUCACCAAGGCAGUGAUACGUAGCCGACCUGAGAGGGUAAUCGGCCACAUUGGGACUGAGACACGGCCCAGACUCCUACGGGAGGCAGCAGUAGGGAAUCUUCCACAAUGGACGCAAGUCUGAUGGAGCAACGCCGCGUGAGUGAAGAAGGGUUUCGGCUCGUAAAGCUCUGUU
rnacentral:rRNA from 1 species